GCCAUGACAAUUAUGUCUGCGCAAGAAACAGUUCCUGGACAGACCUUCUCUAACUCUUCCUUCACUUCAUCGAUAACUUCAUAAGACCUUAGAGAAUUUACAUUCGAAAGAGCACCCUUCUCUCCCAGCAUGGUUGGUGUAUCAUCCAGCAACAUAGAAGCAUCACAACCAUUAACAAAGCAAUCAUGGAAUUGAAAACGCAUGACAGAGGCAACGCUUCUUUGCUCUCUAAUCAUGGCCUUCAUCAUCACUUCCCUCACUAUCAAUUCAGCUUCCGGGCAUGUCUCAGAGUAGAAUCCUGGCAAGAGUGG
rnacentral:misc_RNA from 1 species